AGCGAACGUUAGCGGCGGGCCUAACACAUGCAAGUCGAACGCGAAAGGUCUUCGGACUGAGUAGAGUGGCGCACGGGUGAGUAACACGUAGGUAAUCUACCCUUUGGCGGGGAUAACGUUCCGAAAGGAGCGCUAAUACCGCAUAAGACCACGGAGUCUCCGGACGCUGUGGGAAAAAGGUGGCCUCUUCUUGAAAGCUACCACCGAAGGAUGAGCCUGCGUCCCAUCAGCUAGUGGUAAGGUAAUGGCUUACCAAGGCGAAGACGGGUAGCUGGUUUGAGAGAAUGAUCAGCCACACUGGCAACUGGAACACGGGCCAGACUCCUACGGGAGGCAGCAGUGAGGAAUAUUGGGGCAAUGGGC
rnacentral:rRNA from 1 species